rnacentral:lncRNA from 1 species
GGUUUUCCCGGAGGCUGGAGUUUCUUGGCCGUGACUGCUUGUUUUCGGCUCUGUGGUUCUCCACRUUCUCGGGCAGGAGCACAGCCCGGGCGUCUGAGCGUGCUGAGAGCUGCAGGCAGUGAGAGAUGACUCCCGCGCUCUUGUUUUCCCAGGAUGGUUAGAGCUCUGGACAUUCGACCACCACGGUCUCAGCAUGACCCAUGGCACAGUGGUGAUGAGACUCCCUGGGGCUUGGGAACUGCUGGCCGUUCGUACAUGUCGGUUCCCCUAAUGGACCUCUGCAAGGGCUCCCCAGCGGAGCCUGGAGAGGAGGGGAGCGAGGAAGACAAAAAAAAAAAAAAAAAAAAAAAAAAAGAAAAAAAAAAAAAAAAAAAGCCACGCAGGGUAUAGCUAGCACUGCCUCGCGCCUGAAACUGCUCAUCGUGGCUUCACGCACUGCAGCUGCCUGGACUUGGGGGUCUGCGCGGCAAAACGCGUAUGUAUGUAUAUAUAUAAAAUUUUUUUUUUAAAGAAUUUAAAAAGAAGGGAAAGGAGAAGGCAGAGCCGCGCUCCCCGCACCAGCGCCC